CCUACGGGGGACAGCAGUGAGGAAUAUUGGGCAAUGGACGCAAGUCUGAACCAGCCAUGCCGCGUGCAGGAAGACGGCUCUAGGAGUGGUAAAUUGCUUUUUGACGAGGGUAAACGCUGAUGGUCGCAUCUGUCUGAGAGAAUCGUACGUAUAUGUAUGGGCUAACGCUGUGCCAGCAGCCGCGGUAAUACGGAGGAUUCAAGCGUUGUCCGGAUUUAGUGGGGUUAAAGGGUGCGUAGGCGGUAGGAUAAGUUAGAGGUGAAAUCCCGAGGCUCAACCUCGGACCUGCUUGUGAUACUGUUCGGCUAGAGAGUAGGUGCGGUAGGCGGAAUGUAUGGUGUAGCGGUGAAAUGCUUAGAGAUCAUACAGAACACCGAUUGCGAAGGCAGCUUACCAAGCUACUUCUGACGUUGAGGCACGAAAGCGUGGGGAGCAAACAGGAUUAGAUACCCUGGUAGUC
rnacentral:rRNA from 1 species